rnacentral:rRNA from 1 species
UACGGAAGGUCCGGGCGUUAUCCGGAUUUAUUGGGUUUAAAGGGAGCGCAGGCUGGAGAUUAAGCGUGACGUGAAAUGUAGCCGCUCAACGGCUGAGUUGCGUCGCGAACUGGUUUUCUUGAGUGAGUACGACGUGUACGGAAUUCGUGGUGUAGCGGUGAAAUGCUUAGAUAUCACGGAGAACCCCGAUUGCGAAGGCAGUGCACGAGUCCUUUACUGACGCUAAAGCUCGAAGGUGCGGGUAUCGAAC